AUACGUAGGUGGCAAGCGUUAUCCGGAUUUACUGGGCGUAAAGGGCGCGUAGGCGGGGGUGCAAGUCCGAUGUGAAAUCUCUGGGCUUAACUCAUGAACUGCAUUUGAAACUGUAUCUCUUGAGUGCUGGAGAGGUAGACGGAAUUCCUUGUGUAGCGGUGAAAUGCGUAGAUAUAAGGAAGAACACCAGUGGCGAAGGCGGUCUACUGGACAGUAACUGACGCUGAGGCGCGAAAGCGUGGGGAGCAAACAGGAUUAGAUACCCUGGUAGUCCACGCUGUAAACGAUGAAUACUAGGUGUGGGGGGACUGACCCCCUCCGUGCCGCAGUUAACACAAUAAGUAUUCCGCCUGGGGAGUACGGCCGCAAGGUUGAAACUCAAAUGAAUUGGCGGGG
rnacentral:rRNA from 1 species